rnacentral:rRNA from 1 species
GAUGAACGCUGGCGGCGUGCCUAAUACAUGCAAGUCGAGCGAACAGAUGAGGAGCUUGCUCCUCUGACGUUAGCGGCGGACGGGUGAGUAACAAGUGGAUAACCUACCUAUAAGACUGGGAUAAAUUCGGGAAACCGGUGCUAAUACCGGAGAAUAUAGUGAACCGGAUGGUUCAAUAGUGAAAGACGGUUUUGCUGUCACUUAUAGAUGGAUUCGCGCCGGAUUAGCUAGUUGGUAAGGUAACGGCUUACCAAGGCAACGAUGCGUAGCCGACCUGAGAGGAGGAUCGGCCACACUGGAACUGAGACACGGCCCAGACCCCUACGGGAGGCAGCAGUAGGGAAUAUUCCGCAAUGGGCGAAAGCCUGACGGAGCAACGCCGCGUGAGUGAUGAAGGUCUUCGGAUCGUAAAGCACUUUUAUCAGGAAAGAACAAAUGUGUAAGUAACUGUGCGCGUGUUGACGGUACCUGAUCAAAAAGCCACGGCUAACUACGUG